ensembl:lincRNA
AAAAAAAAUCAAGGAAAAGCUCAACUUCUCAGGGUCUUUUCUCCUCUUUUCUCAAGUAGCGGGGCCAAAGACUUCUUCCAAAUGAACCGUCAUUCAUUUACAAGCACAGCAAGCGUUUUGAGUUUUACCAACAAUUUUCUUUUUCUUGGUACCCUCUGCUUCCCCGUAGCUUAACCCUGACGGAAAAGGAGGAUGUCGUUCGGUUCUCAUCAAGACAAGAAUCAGGCUGGGGAACAAAGAGGAUAGAUAAACGCUUCCAGGACUGGUCUGGUGAACUAGGCAACAGUUGUGAACAUAGCUGUCACUUCUAAAACUAACCAGUGAGUAUGGGAUGGGCCAAUUUCAGGUAGAAAAAAAAAAAACAAAAACAAAAAAACAGACGAUUUUAACUUUGUUCUUGGUCUGAGUUUCAGGAAUGUCCCCUGGCUUCUGGGUGACCUUGGACCAAACAUUUCCUGACCUUCUAAACUCAGCCAUUCUGGGGACCAGAGUUACCUUGAGACAAGACAGCCUGGAAAGUCCCCUCCCUUUUUUUUUUUUUUUUUUAAGGACGAUGUAAAUUGAGCCAGGAGUGGUGGUGCACAUUUUUGAUCCCAGGGAGGUAGAGAUAGGAGCGUCAGAGUUCAAGGUUGCCCUUGGUUACAUAGGGAGUUUGAGGUCAGCCUGAGCUACAUGGGCACGGGGAGCGGGGUGGGGGGGUUGGGGGGGUUUGAGGGAAAACGACGCCAUAAAAAUCUUAAGAGCUAGCCAAGGUUUGUCUCUCUCUUGGGCUAGACGGCCCGGCCCACAAACCACUUUAUCUCAGGAAAUUCUUACAAAAUAUCUGUGAAAUGGGCAGGCUGAGACUCAGAUGUAAAGCUAUUCACCCAAGAUCAUCCAGGGGAUACGAGGCAGAGCUGAGUUGGAGCAACCUUUUUGUGGAGAAAGACCACAAUGGACUUGGCACCUUGUGAGCAUUGACUCAGUCUUUGAGAGAAGCAGUUCAGAGGUGUUCGUCAUCAGCCACAGCUGGGGCCUUUGUGUUUCUGGAGAGGAACAGAGAGUGGCUGUGUGGCUCUUCUUCCCACUGCAUAGGGAAAGGGUGAUGAUCAGCGCUUCUAGAAUGUCCUCAUUCAGGGUGAAGUGGAAAUGUCCCAGCUCUGGGGAGUCAGGUGGUCUGCAUUUUUACAUGCUGUUUCUCCUGGUCUCCUCCAAGGCAACAGUGUCAAUGCCUCAGCCCCUACCCACUGGACCUCUUAAUCUGCACAAGAGAGAGGUUGCCUGAGUGAGCCCCCUCUGAAUGAGACACUGUACAACUGAGGUUCAAAAUCACAUACCCAGAGAUUCUUGGAAGAGCUGGGGGAACGUCCAUGAAGCUUCUGAAACUCUGGACUGAAUUUUGUGAGGAUGGGUAUUCCGUACACACAUCGGAUGUUCAUCAUUUUUAUCUGAUUUUCAGAGGGAACUUCAAUGGCUGUAUUAACAACGAUAAAUAAAUAGAAGC